rnacentral:lncRNA from 12 species
CCAGAUAGCACCAGGCUUCCUAAUUUCUCUUUAGUUCUUAGCUUGCAGGGGAAAUGCUCAUUAUGUGCCACCCUGCCCUCAAGUUCUAGUCUUCAAGAUCAGUUGAUUAUUUCUUAAGGAGAAAUUACUUGAACCAGAGGAUGCAGUGUUUGAACUGGCAGCAAGUUCACUGGUCAUGAAAGGAGCAUCACUGCUGAGCAUGGUGUCAUUGUACUUGAUUCGUUACUAUCAGUUGAGAUCUUCAAAUGUAGAGCUGAUCCUCGAUGAAAUCCUGUGUAAGUGGUCUUUACCGUGUGAAGUGUCAAUACAGUUAGUCUCAUCUGUUGACAGGUCCUGUGAGGCAAAUGAAGGCAUAGUGCAAAGUAGAGCUGUAUGUACUGGAGAACAAAAACAAAACAGAGGUGGAUAGCUGUCAAAAGCGUGUGGCUAACAUCUUCACGAAUAUGCUGAAGAUAUUGCUACUCUGGAUACCUUUGUAGAACUUACCUUGACAAAGGGCUUGUCUUGGCAGCUAUGGACAGCUUAUGAAAGUUGAUAAGCAUCAUCAUCACUGCUCAAGAGCAGAAAUCCUAACUAAUGUCUGAG